UAUUAACUGUCUACCCUAUACUUUACUGAGGCAUUAUACAGGAUGAAUUGCAUCUAUUUAAGUGUGCGUUUCAUUAGCUUUUGAUAAAUAUGCAUACUGUAUACCUAUCACCACAGUCAAGAGAUAGCAUAUCCACAUCACCUUAAAGAAUCUCCUUGUGUCCCAUCUCUGUGAACCAUCCUUUUAUCAUAAGGCCCCAGGCAAUAACUGAUUACUCUCUGUCACUGUAUAUUAAAUCUACAUUUCAGAAGUCAAAUAUCAACAUAUUUUUUAAGAGAAUGGCAGCCUUGAAAAAUAUCCAAACAUCUCAUGAGGUACAGGGGAACUUUCCAUUCUGUGAAGCAUAAUGAGUAUUAAGAACAUAAGGUGAAGGAACUAGGAUUACAAAUAUUAAUUAGUAUUACAUAUAUUAAUUAGUCUGGGUAUCAUAAACAGCAAGGGAUUUAAUAGAAGGAGUUAAGAGUCUACAAAAUAAAUUGAAAGGGCUAAAGACACACAAUUUAUUUUGAACUUUUUAGAAUGUAUUCAACAAACAAAGCCACAGUUUCCUCAUGAUUUCCUCACUUGCUGAUCAAGUGGAAUUACGAUAGAAGAGACAAAGCAGAUGCCAGUAACUCAUAUUCACAGACUUGCCAGAAUCCUAUGGAGAGGAACUGUCAUCCGAGAAACUUGUACAGAUGGAAGAAAUGAAACUGAAAAAAGAGACACAAGCUACCAUACUAAUAAUGCCAAAACAAGUUGCCAGUAGAUGUACUAUAUAUUUUUUUUCUUUAAAAAUGGAUUAACUGCUUUUCAGCAAUGAAUAUGUAGAGAGGAGAAGUUUUAAAGCAGGGUACUGAAUUUUGAAAGGC
rnacentral:lncRNA from 1 species